AAGCCUUUCGUUAAUGGUGGUGCCUCAGGCAUGCUUGCCACCUGUGUUAUUCAACCUAUCGAUAUGAUUAAGGUCAGGAUUCAAUUGGGUCAGGGUUCAGCGGCUCAGGUGACAAAGACCAUGCUAAAGGAGGAGGGUUUUGGUGCCUUUUACAAGGGGUUAUCUGCUGGACUACUCAGGCAAGCUACAUAUACAACUGCCCGACUUGGAUCAUUCAAGAUUUUGACCAA
rnacentral:misc_RNA from 1 species